rnacentral:rRNA from 1 species
UACGUAGGGACCAAGCGUUGUUCGGAUUUACUGGGCGUAAAGGGCGCGUAGGCGGCGUGACAAGUCACUUGUGAAAUCUCUGGGCUUAACCCAGAACGGCCAAGUGAAACUGUUGUGCUAGAGUGCAGAAGGGGCAAUCGGAAUUCUCGGUGUAGCGGUGAAAUGCGUAGAUAUCGAGAGGAACACCAGAGGUGAAGACGGGUUGCUGGGCUGACACUGACGCUGAGGCGCGAAAGCCAGGGGAGCGAACGGG